UGCAGUUUAACUUUUUUCUCUGACCUUUGUAUUUUGAGUUGCAAGUUGGCAACUCAAUCCAGAGACUUGAACAAACUCAAGAUUAUUUUAUCACUUUGGUUAAAACCAUAGGUGAUUUGUAUUCUUUCAUAAAGAGGAAAAAACAUCUGGUUGCCUUUGUGAUAUUAGUAGUACAUGGUAUUCAAUGCCUAGAUCCAUUAAUUCAUUGAAGAUUGCAAAGUGUAGAUAUUCUAUCAUUUGUUUUUUCACUUAUUAGCAGGAAUACUUUAGUAAGAGAUGCCUCUCUUCAUCUAUUCUUUUGCUCUCUAGUGGUUUAAUCCCUUUAUUUGCUAGUUUUCAAGAAAAUGAAUUUACUCCCUAUAAUCCUCCAAAGGUAAACAUUAAGAACUGAAGGAUUUAAUCAUAUUUGGAUUUCAAUGCAUACCUAUACUGAAGCUCAAAUUAUCUUAUUUUUGGCCAGUGGGAGCCUCUUCAAGUUAGCCACUGUGUUCUUUGUUAUGACUAAUUGUCUUUAAAGAUUCUUUGCUACCUGGUAUAAAAGACAUUCCAGGUUCAUCUUGUAUAAUUUCUGCACCAGACCUAGAAUCAACUAUUUCUCCAAGAAGGCUUAGUUUCUUUCACUGGGAAAUUGUGUUAUAGUAUUUCAGGACCAUAAUCUGAGCAGAGGAGGUAUGUGUCUGUGUGUAUGUCCUUAAUACAAAAUGAGAACUACAAGUUUACUCACCCGCUUCUAUUUUAUAUCUGUAUUUGCUUUCUUCCACUCCGAGAAUCCUGGUCUCAAGGAUACAGAUUAUGAUAAAACUGAAAUAUCCCAUAAUUACUCAUUUGUUUUAUCCCACAUUACAUACAGUCUCAGAUACCACUAAUGAUAUCAUUACUAAAAAUAUUUUUAAAUUUUGCAUAUGCAUUAUCCAUUUCCCUUUUUUUCAGUUGUACUAUAUCCACACUGUCAGUGCAUACGGCCAUUACAUACUUUACUUCCUCUGUUGUAAUCCUUAUUUAUUCCUAGCUCUACAAAUAACCAUACAUUUAAUGCUUACAACCAGUCCUUAUGAAUCUCAUUCUCUAGGAAAUUCCUCAGAAGGGCCCACAGCAACAAUACUCCUUGACUACUCAUAUGUUGAUAGCAGUUUGUGCUCUUCAUACUUGAAGAUCACUUUUACUGAGCAUAAAAUCUUUGGUCCACACCUUCUUUCCUUGAGUAUCUCAAAUAUAUUAUUCUAUUUUCUUCUGGCAUAAAGCAUAUGUCAACAAGUCUGAUAAUAAUCUAAAUUCUUUUCCUUGUAAGUCACUUGGUCUUUUUUCUUAGAUGGCCAAGGGAUUUUUUCUGUUUUU
rnacentral:lncRNA from 1 species